rnacentral:rRNA from 1 species
GUGAGGAAUAUUGGACAAUGGGCGCAAGCCUGAUCCAGCCAUGCCGCGUGCAGGAAGACGCAUCUAUGGUGUGUAAACUGCUUUUGUACGGGAAGAAACACUCCCUCGUGAGGGAGCUUGACGGUACCGUAAGAAUAAGGAUCGGCUAACUCCGUGCCAGCAGCCGCGGUAAUACGGAGGAUCCAAGCGUUAUCCGGAAUCAUUGGGUUUAAAGGGUCCGUAGGCGGUGUAAUAAGUCAGUGGUGAAAGCCCAUCGCUCAACGAUGGAACGGAGAGUGAUACUGUUAGACUUGAAUUACAAGGAAGUAACUAGAAUAGGUAGUGUAGCGGUGGUAUGCUUAGAUAUUACAGGGAAUACCAAUUGCGAAGGCAGGUUACUACUUGUGGAUUGACGCUGAUGGACGAAAGCGUGGGGAGCGAACAGGAUUAGAUACCCUUGUAGUCC